UACAUAGGGUGCGAGCGUUAAUCGGAAUUACUGGGCGUAAAGCGUGCGCAGGCGGUUCGUUGUGUCUGAUGUGAAAGCCCCGGGCUCAACCUGGGAAUGGCAUUGGAAACUGGCGAGCUAGAGUGUGGCAGAGGGGGGUGGAAUUCCGCGUGUAGCAGUGAAAUGCGUAGAGAUGCGGAGGAACACCGAUGGCGAAGGCAGCCCCCUGGGCUGACACUGACGCUCAGGCACGAAAGCGUGGGGAGCAAACAGG
rnacentral:rRNA from 1 species